GUAGGUGGCAAGCGUUGUCCGGAAUUAUUGGGCGUAAAGCGCGCGCAGGCGGUCCUUUAAGUCUGAUGUGAAAGCCCACGGCUCAACCGUGGAGGGUCAUUGGAAACUGGGGGGCUUGAGUACAGAAGAGGAAAGCGGAAUUCCAAGUGUAGCGGUGAAAUGCGUAGAGAUUUGGAGGAACACCAGUGGCGAAGGCGGCUCUCUGGUCUGUAACUGACGCUGAGGCGCGAAAGCGUGGGGAGCAAACAGGGAUUAGAUACCCUGGUAGUCCACGCCGUAAACGAUGAGUGCUAAGUGUUAGGGGGUUUCCGCCCCCUUAGUGCUGCAGCUAACGCAUUAAGCACUCCGCCUGGGGAGUACGGCCGCAAGGCUG
rnacentral:rRNA from 1 species